rnacentral:rRNA from 1 species
CCUACGGGUGGCUGCAGUGGGGAAUAUUGGACAAUGGGGGCAACCCUGAUCCAGCCAUGCCGCGUGUGUGAAGAAGGCCCUCGGGUUGUAAAGCACUUUCAGUGAGGAAGAACGCCUGGUGGUUAAUACCCAUCAGGAAAGACAUCACUCACAGAAGAAGCACCGGCUAACUCCGUGCCAGCAGCCGCGGUAAUACGGAGGGUGCGAGCGUUAAUCGGAAUUACUGGGCGUAAAGCGCGCGUAGGUGGCUUGAUAAGCCGGUUGUGAAAGCCCCGGGCUCAACCUGGGAACGGCAUCCGGAACUGUCAAGCUAGAGUGCAGGAGAGGAAGGUAGAAUUCCCGGUGUAGCGGUGAAAUGCGUAGAGAUCGGGAGGAAUACCAGUGGCGAAGGCGGCCUUCUGGACUGAAACUGACACUGAGGUGCGAAAGCGUGGGUAGCAAACAGGAUUAGAUACCCCUGUAGUC